GGAGGUGUGGCUCAAGUGGCAGAGCUUCAGCCUAGCAAGCUUGAGGCUCUGAGUUCAAACACCAGUACUGCCA
rnacentral:tRNA from 1 species